UGGCUGGGGGAGCUACCAUGCAGUCGACGGUAGCACAGAGAACUUGGUCUCUCGUGAGAAGAGGGGGACAGGUGAGUAAUGUGUGGGAAACUGCCCCAUGGAGGGGGAUAUCUAUUGUGAACGGUAUCUAUUACCCCAUAAUGUGUCACGACACCAGAGGGGGACCUUCUCGCCUCUCGCCCUCUCAUGUGCCCCCAUGUGAUUAUCUUGUGGUGGAGAUAAUGUGUCUCCCCGGCGACAAUACCUAUCUGGGCUGAGAGGAUGACCCCCCCCACUGUGACUGAGACACGCUCCCCACUCCCACAGGAGGCGCCACUGGGGAAUAUUGUGCAAUGGGCGCACGCCUGAUGCACCCCUGCCCCGUGUGUGAAAAAAGCCUUCUCGUUGUAAAGAACUUUCUCCGCGGAGAAAAGCGCUACAGUUAAUAACCGUGUUGAUUGUGAUUACCCCCACAAAAAACACCGCCUAACUCCCUGCCCCCACCCCCGCUAAUACAGAGGGGGCGCGCGUUAUUCUCAAUUAUUGUGCGUAAAGCGCACACACGCGGUCUGUCUCGUCUCAUGUGAAAUCCCCGGGCUCUCCCUGGGAACUGUGUUCUAAACUGUGAGGCGUGAGUCUUGUGUAGAGGGGUAUAAUUCUCGGUGUAUCGCUGAGAUGCGUAUAGAUCUGGAGAAGUAUAGCUGGGGAAAGCGGCCCCCUGUGCACAGACAGAGACUCUCGUGCGAAAACGUGUGGAGAACACACGAUUAUAUACACUGGUAUUCUACGCGGUAUACAAUAUCUACUUGUAGGUGUGUGCUUGUGGCGUGUGUUUCUCGAGAUCUCACGCUAUAUCUACCGCGUGGGGAGACACGCGCACAGGUAUAACUCUCAUGAGAUGUGAGGGGCCCGCACAAGAGAUAU
rnacentral:rRNA from 1 species